rnacentral:rRNA from 1 species
GGUUGUAAACCUCUUUCAGCAGGGAAGGAGCGAAAGCGACGGUACCUGCAGAAGAAGCACCGGCUAACUACGUGCCAGCAGCCGCGGUAAUACGUAGGGUGCGAGCGUUGUCCGGAAUUAUUGGGCGUAAAGAGCUUGUAGGCGGUUUGUCGCGUCUGCCGUGAAAAUCCGGGGCUCAACCCCGGACUUGCGGUGGGUACGGGCAGACUAGAGUGUGGUAGGGGAGACUGGAAUUCCUGGUGUAGCGGUGAAAUGCGCAGAUAUCAGGAGGAACACCGAUGGCGAAGGCAGGCCUCUGGGCCACUACUGACGCUGAGAAGCGAAAGCGUGGGGAGCGAACAGGAUUAGAUACCCUGGUAGUCC